UACGUAGGGCGCAAGCGUUGUCCGGAAUACUGGGCGUAAAGCGCGUGUAGGCGGCCCGAUAAGUCCGCUGUGAAAGUCCAGGCUCAACCCUGGGAUGCCGGUGGAUACUGUCGGGCUCGAGUCCGGAAGAGGCGAGUGGAAUUCCUGGUGUAGCGGUGAAAUGACGCAGAUAUCAGGAAGAACACCCGUGGCGAAGGCGGCUCUCUGGUGACGUGACUGACGCUGAGACGCGAAAGCGUGGGGAGCGAACAGG
rnacentral:rRNA from 1 species